GGGGGUGUGGCUCAGUUGGUAGAGCGUUCGCUUAGCAGUCGUCCACGUCUGCGAAAGGUCCUGGGUUCGAUUCCCAGCUCCUCCA